UACGGAGGGUGCAAGCGUUAUCCGGAUUUAUUGGGUUUAAAGGGUCCGUAGGCGGAUCGUUAAGUCAGCGGUGAAAUCUUCCGGCUCAACCGGGAAACUGCCGUUGAUACUGUCGAUCUUGAGUACAAGUGAAGUUGGCGGAAUGUGUGGUGUAGCGGUGAAAUGCUUAGAUAUCACACAGAACACCUAUUGCGAAGGCAGCUGACUAACUCGUAACUGACGCUGAGGGACGAAAGUGUGGGGAUCAAACAGGAUUAGAUACCCUGGUAGUCCACACCGUAAACGAUGAUCACUAGAUUUUGGCCGCAAGGUCAGAGUCCAAGCGAAAGUGUUUAGUGAUCCACCUGGGGAGUACGUCCGCAAGGAUGAA
rnacentral:rRNA from 1 species